rnacentral:lncRNA from 1 species
UCAAAACAAACUGAAAUAAAGAAAACAUUGUCACUAAUGACCAAAGGCCUUAUUUCAUUGAGAAAGUAGUAAAAUCCUAAUUACUUGGUCCCAGAAGGACCUUCCCCAGAUUCGGUAUCUUUGCCUCCCUCAUAUAGCUUCAUUAACUUGUGCAGUCGCAGCAACAAAUAAGCCUGAGCCAAACACCCACCUUCAUUACCUUCAGCUUCCUGACAGUCUUUGAUCCUUUUCAGAAACUUGCCUUCCAGCUCCACUAUACCCUGCUCCAAGUACCCUAAACGGUUGCUUGCUUGGACAUCCAUGUCUUUCCAUUCAUAGAUUACCUUCUCUUGAGCCUCUAGUACUUCCCGAUGUUCACUCUCGCACUCUCACAUCCGUUUACGUAGCUAAUUGUACUUGACCUUUGCAGCAGCCUCCUCGUCAAUAACCCUAUGACCAUGGACGAAACCUUUUUUCCCCAAGCCAAUAUAAUCAUCUUCUAACCAUCCAGGAUAAAGUGGUGCAUGCCUCGCCAGAUACCUGUUUGGUUCCACAGACUCUUUUUCUAGAAUGAUUUUGGAGAGCCACAUAUGCUUAGCGUGGCACCUGUGUGGGCUAUCAUCAUAUUGGAAAUCAGCUCUAUAAUGACUCAUCGUUUCCACUCUUGGUAUAAUUUGCUUCCUUUCGGCUUGCCUCAUGACUCGGAGAGGGACAUAAGGGUAAGUUCC